UUGCUUCUCUCAUUCUCUCUUCUCGAUAGUCAAUUCCACUCCUUCUAUUUCAUUUCUAAAUGAGUUUCCAUCAUCGUUCAAGCCACAAGUUCUUGUGUCUUUGUCGACCUAUUAUCACUCAUCCUCAUCUUAGAGAGGCAGCCACAAGUUCUUCGACCUUCAUGGCCUGUCACUCUUCCUCAGAUUAUCGUCUACUAAGGCUAUUUCCUCAAUUCUUCCUCAGCCUAUAGUCGUCCUAGCUCACUGGAAAUGGGUGUUUGUUUUUGUAGAAAGUUGUGGGUACAAAUCUAUAUUGGGUUCAAAAUGGAACUGACUAAUUGCAAACCCCUAAUUGGGAAGCAAGAAUCUAAAAGGAGGUAGAACAUGGGAUGGAUCUACUCACCUGCAGUCUUUUGCUGGUCGCCGCUCUCAUCACUAUCAGUUGCAACUCGCUAGCAGGGUUUUGGUGAAGUCCCAGAACAUAGAAGUGAGGAAGGAAGCUUGGAAAGGUCGAAGGAUUGAGAAGCAUUAAAGAAACAAAGUGCACGGGUCGUGUAAACACAACCAUAGACCCGUGUAACAUUCUGCCAAAAGAAAUCCAGAGAACUGAGGAAGAGACAAAGCACACGGGCCGACCUGUGUAACUUUUUGUGCCAGUACGAAACAUGCCCAUUCAGCUCCAGUAAGUUACACGGCUUUGGGCCAUGUAGUGAUACAGGAGUCGUGUAUCCAUCGAUAAUUAGUUUCUUGAUUUUGCUCCAGUUGCAAUUUUUGAUAGAGACUCUAAGAACCUAACCCCAGACCAUUUAUUAUAAAUGGAAGAGACAGCAGCCGCACAAAAGGACCAUUCAGCAGCCUCUACAUUCGUCUUUGAGAAUUCUUCUUUUUCUUCUUUAAUUUUCUAUAAGCCAUGAACAUAAGUGGCAAAGUUUUUAAUUCAGUUCAAGGGAUUUAAGUUCUUUUGCUUGAUUUGUGAGAUCAGGUUCUUAAUUUAAUUUAUGUCUUUUUGAAUA